rnacentral:rRNA from 1 species
CCUANGGGCGGCAGCAGUGAGGAAUCUUCCACAAUGGGCGAAAGCCUGAUGGAGCAACGCCGCGUGCAGGAUGAAGGCCUUCGGGUCGUAAACUGCUUUUAUAAGUGAAGAAUUUGACGGUAGCUUAUGAAUAAGCACCGGCUAACUACGUGCCAGCAGCCGCGGUCAUACGUAGGGUGCAAGCAUUAUCCGGAGUGACUGGGCGUAAAGAGUUGCGUAGGUGGUUUGUUAAGUGAAUAGUGAAAUCUGGAGGCUCAACCUCACAGACUAUUAUUCAAACUGGCAAACUCGAGAGUAGCAGAGGUAACUGGAAUUUCUAGUGUAGGAGUGAAAUCCGUAGAUAUUAGAAGGAACACCAAUGGCGUAAGCAGGUUACUAGGCUAUUUCUGACACUAAGGCACGAAAGCGUGGGGAGCGAACCGGAUUAGAUACCCCUNUANUC